UACGUAGGGGGCAAGCGUUGUCCGGAUUUAUUGGGCGUAAAGAGCGUGUAGGCGGCCAAGCAGGUCAGCUGUGAAAACUCGAGGCUCAACCUCGAGACGUCGGUUGAAACCGUUUGGCUAGAGUCCGGAAGAGGAGAGUGGAAUUCCCGGUGUAGCGGUGAAAUGCGCAGAUAUCGGGAAGAACACCCGUGGCGAAGGCGGCUCUCUGGGACGGUACUGACGCUGAGACGCGAAAGCGUGGGGAGCGAACGAGG
rnacentral:rRNA from 1 species